rnacentral:rRNA from 1 species
UACGGGAGGCAGCAGUGGGGAAUAUUGCACAAUGGGCGAAAGCCUGAUGCAGCUAUGCCGCGUGUAUGAAGAAGGCCUUAGGGUUGUAAAGUACUUUCAUCGGGGAGGAAAAACAAAACUAAUAAUUUUAUUUCUUGACGUUACCCGAAAAAGAAGCACCGGCUAACUCCGUGCCAGCAGCCGCGGUAAUACGGAGGGUGCUAGCGUUAAUCAGAAUUACUGGGCGUAAAGAGCACGUAGGCGGUUUUUUUAAGUCAGAUGUGAAAUCCCUGGGCUUAACCUAGGAACUGCAUUUUGAAACUGAAAUACUAGAGUAUCGUAGAGGGAGGUAGAAUUCUAGGUGUAGCGGUGAAAUGCGUAGAUAUCUGGAGGAAUACCUGUGGCGAAAGCGGCCUCCUAAACGAAUACUGACACUGAGGUGCGAAAGCGUGGGGAGCGAAACAGGGAUUAGAUACCCGU